rnacentral:rRNA from 1 species
UACGUAGGGUGCGAGCGUUAAUCGGAAUUACUGGGCGUAAAGCGUGCGCAGGCGGUUCGUUGUGUCGGCGGUGAAAGCCCCGGGCUUAACCUGGGAACGGCCGUUGAAACUGGCGAACUGGAGUGUGGCAGAGGGGGGUGGAAUUCCGCGUGUAGCAGUGAAAUGCGUAGAGAUGCGGAGGAACACCGAUGGCGAAGGCGACACGCUGGGCCAUACCUGACGCUAAAGCGCGACAGCAUGGGGAGCAAACGGG